UUUUCCAUAUAUUCAAAAUUAGCGCUUAAGCAAAUAAAGUUGGAAAUAAUUUUUCACUUUCUAUUAACGCUUUAAAUAUUAGUUAAUAUGUUUUGUUGUUUGUUGUUUUAUUUUUUAGUUCUUUAUGAAUAAUAUUAAUUAAUAAAUUGAUAUUAGUCAAAACCCCGUUUAUAAAAUAACGCUGGUCAGGGGAAGUAAUUGUUGCAGUCUAUGAUUUUGUUUGUUGUCUAUGAUUAUCGUUCGUGCAAAUGGUGGCGCUGUUUGGAAAAUUUGAAAACAACACAAUUGGCAAUUUAUUUGGAUUUCGAAGAUCCUGGUCCUGGCUGAAAUUUAGAGUAAUUUGCAGCUGUAGCCUGUAUACCAUACAUUCAACAUGAAAAGGACUGUCAGGAUGCUGCAUAAAAUGGUCUUAGCUAGAGCCUAGAAUGUUAAUUUCUUGGGAAUAUGCUGCAAGAAACUGAUGGGGAGCAGUUUUUCUUACCAAUCAUAGGUGAGACUUUUAAAUAGCUUCUUUUAAAAAAAAUUCUGUUGUCUAAUAU